UACGGAGGGGGCUAGCGUUGUUCGGAAUUACUGGGCGUAAAGCGCGCGCAGGUGGUUUCUUAAGUCUGAUGUGAAAGCCCACGGCUCAACCGUGGAGGGUCAUUGGAAACUGGGGGACUUGAGUACAGAAGAGAAGAGUGGAAUUCCACGUGUAGCGGUGAAAUGCGUAGAGAUGUGGAGGAACACCAGUGGCGAAGGCGACUCUUUGGUCUGUAACUGACGCUGAGGCGCGAAAGCGUGGGGAGCAAACAGG
rnacentral:rRNA from 1 species